UACGUAGGUGGCAAGCGUUGUCCGGAUUUACUGGGCGUAAAGAGCGCGCAGGCGGUCGUUCAAGUCGCGUGUGAAAGCCCCCGGCUCAACUGGGGAGGGUCACGCGAUACUGAUCGACUCGAAGGCAGGAGAGGGUAGUGGAAUUCCCGGUGUAGUGGUGAAAUGCGUAGAUAUCGGAAGGAACAUCAGUGGCGAAAGCGGGUCUCUGGGCCGUAACUGACGCUGAGGAGCGAAAGCGUGGGGAGCGAACAGG
rnacentral:rRNA from 1 species